UGGACUCUGUGUUCUAGGAAGCCCAUUGGCUGUAUUCAGUACAAGCUGCCUCUGUAUGAGGGGGAGGACCCUGGCACAUUCCUCACGUGGUGGAGGCAUGUCAUCUACAUCCACUUCCUGCCCGGGAAGAGCUUCGCCAUUGCCUACUUCAGGGGCAAAAUGAACUAUCAGUACUACCAGAUGAUGAUGCUGAUGGGCCGCACCCUGAAAGCUGACCUAGACGCUCUGAGGGUCUUCAAGAUGUUUAUGAUAAGUAAAAUGGGGGAAAAAGCCAAGACUAAGAAGCCUCCUCACGCUGACGCCUGUGAGUUGCCCAGAGAUUCCUAACACAGGAGGAGCAUCUCAGAGACCGUGUAGCAGCAGGAGUAGGGAUCUGCCACGUGCUUUCCGUCUUGGUCACAACACUUAGUGCUGAGAAAGGAAAAGGCAGGGCCAAACGCCCACCUCUCU